AAGUCGUAACAAGGUUUCCGUAGGUGAACCUGCGGAAGGAUCAUUACCUAGAGUUUGUGGGCUUUGCCUGCUAUCUCUUACCCAUGUCUUUUGAGUACUUACGUUUCCUCGGUGGGUUCGCCCGCCGAUUGGACAAUUUAAACCCUUUGCAGUUGCAAUCAGCGUCUGAAAAACAUAAUAGUUACAACUUUCAACAACGGAUCUCUUGGUUCUGGCAUCGAUGAAGAACGCAGCGAAAUGCGAUAAGUAGUGUGAAUUGCAGAAUUCAGUGAAUCAUCGAAUCUUUGAACGCACAUUGCGCCCCUUGGUAUUCCAUGGGGCAUGCCUGUUCGAGCGUCAUUUGUACCUUCAAGCAUUGCUUGGUGUUGGGUGUUUGUCUCGCCUUUGCGUGUAGACUCGCCUUAAAACAAUUGGCAGCCGGCGUAUUGAUUUCGGAGCGCAGUACAUCUCGCGCUUUGCACUCAUAACGACGACGUCCAAAAGUACAUUUUAACACUCUUGACCUCGGAUCAGGUAGGGAUACCCGCUGAACUUAA
rnacentral:rRNA from 1 species